rnacentral:rRNA from 1 species
UAGGGAAUCUUCGGCAAUGGGGGGAACCCUGACCGAGCAACGCCGCGUGAGUGAAGAAGGUUUUCGGAUCGUAAAGCUCUGUUGUUAAGGAAGAACGAGUGUGAGAAUGGAAAGUUCAUGCUGUGACGGUACUUAACCAGAAAGGGACGGCUAACUACGUGCCAGCAGCCGCUGUAAUACGUAGGUCCCGAGCGUUGUCCGGAUUUAUUGGGCGUAAAGCGAGCGCAGGCGGUUAGAAAAGUCUGAAGUGAAAGGCAGUGGCUCAACCAUUGUAGGCUUUGGAAACUGUUUAACUUGAGUGCAGAAAGGGAGAGUGGAAUUCCAUGUGUAGCGGUGAAAUGCGUAGAUAUAUGGAGGAACACCGGUGGCGAAAGCGGCUCUCUGGUCUGUAACUGACGCUGAGGCUCGAAAGCGUGGGGAGCGAACAGG